rnacentral:rRNA from 1 species
CCUACGGGGGGCAGCAGUGGGGAAUAUUGCACAAUGGGCGCAAGCCUGAUGCAGCCAUGCCGCGUGUGUGAAGAAGGCCUUCGGGUUGUAAAGCACUUUCAGCGGGGAGGAAGGCGGUGAGGUUAAUAACCUCAUCGAUUGACGUUACCCGCAGAAGAAGCACCGGCUAACUCCGUGCCAGCAGCCGCGGUAAUACGGAGGGUGCAAGCGUUAAUCGGAAUUACUGGGCGUAAAGCGCACGCAGGCGGUCUGUCAAGUCGGAUGUGAAAUCCCCGGGCUCAACCUGGGAACUGCAUUCGAAACUGGGAGGCUAGAGUCUUGUAGAGGGGGGUAGAAUUCCAGGUGUAGCGGUGAAAUGCGUAGAGAUCUGGAGGAAUACCGGUGGCGAAGGCGGCCCCCUGGACAAAGACUGACGCUCAGGUGCGAAAGCGUGGGGAGCAAACAGGAUUAGAUACCCUUGUAGUC